AGUGCCAGAAAGGGGGUAGCCCUGAGCCCGACCCGCCUCUGGGGCUCGGGAAACCGCGUCCCUCAGGGCAGGCGGAAACAGAAUCACAGAACCAACCAGGUAAAUCAAAACUAAUUUGGUUGAUGACAGGUUUUGCACCAUUCUGCGAAUCAGACCAGUUAGAACUUGUUAAGAGUAGCAGAACUUGCCUAAGAAGAAUUUAGGCUAGGACUCAGGGUAAAGAAAUUAGAAAGAAGGAUAAUUAGAAAAGCCAGAUGAUAAUUGGGACACAGAUAAGAUGUAACAACCAGCUAAAUAUAUUAACAUUAACCCACGCUAAUGAAGCAAGAAACAAGUUGUGGGCAGGAGCAUAUGUGAUGUGGCCCUAAAAUGUGCAGGAAUAUGAGGAAGAAGCCAGAUGUGGAAGUUAAAGCAAAGAAACAUGAAGUUAUUUGUUCCAGGUCAUCCAACUAAGCAGUGGCAGACAAAAAAAUAAAAGCGAGUCCUUCAGUGCUCAUUCUGUUGCAUCACUCUGUCUUCCUGUUUUGAUAAAAACAUCUGAAAAAUCAUAGAUGUCCUACAAGCUGUUCGAGAGACAGCCUGAACAAAGCCAGGAGACACUGUGAG